UUAAGCAUAUCCGUAAGCGAAGGAAAAGAAAACAACUGUGAUUCCGUUAGUAACUGCGAGUGAAGCGGGAAAAGCCCAACGUUGAAGCCUGCGAGGGCAUUGUGACGUGAACUGGUAUGGACAAUUGGUUAGUGACCAGCAUUUCUGUCAAAGUUGUCUGGAUUGACGCAUCAAGGAGGGUGAAAGUCCCGUGUGAGACAGAGUGCUGGUCAUGUAUUGUUCAGACCAAUAGUUCGAAAUGAGUCGUGUUGUUUGGGAUUGCAACAUAAAGAGGGUGGUAAGCUCCAUUUAAGGCUAAAUAUAAGCACGAAUCCGAUAGCGAACAAGUACC
rnacentral:rRNA from 1 species